rnacentral:rRNA from 1 species
GUAGGUGGCAAGCGUUGUCCGGAAUUAUUGGGCGUAAAGCGCGCGCAGGUGGGUUCUUUAAGUCUGAUGUGAAAGCCCCCGUCCCAACCGGGGAGGGUCAUUGGAAACUGGGGAACUUGAGUGCAGGAGAGGAAAGUGGAAUUCCACGUGUAGCGGUGAAAUGCGUAGAUAUGCGGAGGAACACCAGUGGCGAAGGCGACUUUCUGGCCUGUAACUGACACUGAGGCGCGAAAGCGUGGGGAGCAAACAGGAUUAGAUACCCUGGUAGUCCACGCCGUAAACGAUGAGUGCUAAGUGUUGGGGGGUUUCCGCCCCUCAGUGCUGCAGCUAACGCAUUAAGCACUCCGCCUGGGGAGUACGGUCGCAAAGACUG